rnacentral:lncRNA from 1 species
UGUUGACCAUGUAUUUUGCUUUUAUUUUGGGGCUUUGUUUUGGCUCAUCAUUGACAAUUGUCACUUCAUGGCCACAUAAGAAAUAUUUGGGGAGCCUUUUUUGGUGUAAGUUUCAGGAGAGGCAGGGAUUUGCCUUCCAAUAAGAAAGAUGGAAAGUCUUUAUGUGUCAGAGAAUAUCUGACAGAUAGGGCACAGCGUGUCCCCAGAGCUCAGCCAGUCAGAUGCUCCUGCCUGGGUCUUAGAAUCUGGAAUCAGUGAUGCAGAGAAGCAGGGAGGGCUGAGGAUUCUUUUCGGUGGCCCUGGUAGCAGCGUCUGGUGUCCAGUAGUGUCAGCCUCAAUGCCCUAACUGACUCAUCUGAGGUAUAACCUUGGCUGUGCUAUGGCUGCCCAAAUUCCUUUAGUUCCUGCCUAUCCAUUUUACAAGUUGGUUCUCCAACCUUGCUGGUGAUCCUCUGGGCUACUUGAUAUCCCUUCAGAAUUUCAUUUAUGUUUAAGUUAGCCAGAGUUGCUUUCUGUUGUGUCUAACUGGUGAUGUUGACUAGUCACAUAGUACCCAGCAUGUAAGUAUUCCUAAAGAAAUGAAUAUGAAUGAGUGUCAGGGGCCAAGGUGGAUAUCAGAGAUUCCAGGAUAAAUAAACUUCUAAUUCAGAGAUGCCUAUUUCUUUUUUUUUUAGAUGGAGUCUUGCUCUGUUGCCCAGGCUGGAGUGCAGUGGUAUGAUAUUGGCUCACUGCAACCUCCACCUCCUGGUUCAAGCAAUUCUCCUGCCUCAUCCUCCUGAGUAACUGGGAUUACAGGCAAAAGCCACAAAGCCUGGCAAAGUUUUGUAGUUUUAGCAGAGAUGGGGUUUCACCAUGUUAUGGCCAGGCUGGUCUGGAACUCCUGACCUCAAGUGAUCCUUGGCCUCCCAAAGUGCUGGGAUUAUAGGCGUGAGCCACUGUGCCCACCCAGCCAGAGAAGCCUAUGUUUUGCUAAGUUAUAGAUAUCCAUGUAGAGUAAUUAGAGGUUCUCUCUAAAUGGUGGUUCCCAGACAUUCAAGACUUCCUGUCUCAGGUCCAGGCUCAGAAGACACAAACAAACAAGAAACUACGUUUGGUUGUUCCAGCAUAAAACCUUGGGUUUGCAUUGGACAAGAUUGGCUUACUUUGGGUAAUAUAUGAUGCUUGAAUUGGCCAGACCUAGUUCAUGAGCCUGAAGUUGUGUUAGAGUUCAGCCCUACUGCAACUACUAGUGGUUAGGAUCACAGGCACUGCAUGCAGUCUACCUGGAUUUGUAAAUCUCAGUUCUGCCAUUUAAGAGCAAAUUACAUAUUUAUUUGUAAGUUAUCUGAGACAUCUCUCAAAUGGGAAUAAUAAUAGUACCUGUACCAAAGAGUUGGUAUGAGGAUUAAAUGAGUUAAUUAUGCAAAAUGCUCAGAUCAGUGCCUGCCAUGUGGUUAGAGCUUAAUGUAUGUUAGUUACCAUUCUUAGCUAUUACUGCAUGGACUGAGAAUAGUGAAGAGAUGGUUUCCAAAGGAAAUUCAGGGGGCUGUUACCAGAAGACGGUACGAAUGAAUGCUCGAAAGGCAAGAACAACAAAUGUCCACUACACUUCAUCCCCAAGUUCUAACAACCAACUACUGGAGGUGGGCAGCCAAUAAGCUCUUGCAUGAAGCCAGCUGGGAUUCACAGCUGCCUGUUGGUGUCAAUCUUAUCCCCCAAGGUGAAGUUCCAAAGCACAGUCAUGACCACCUGAUCAACACCCCAGGAGGGCUGAAUGUCUCUCUGGCAAUCAGCCCUCAUUUUUCUAGGCUUCACCUUUGUGGCAGUCUUAGAAAAUCCAUGGCUUGGCCAGCCUGAGUGCACAUUAAACCAUUUCAAAAUGUUGGAAGAGGAAGUCUGCAUGCUUAAUGUGUAAUUUAGCUGAAAGAACUGGA